AACGAACGCUGGCGGCAUGCCUAACACAUGCAAGUCGAACGAGACCUUCGGGUCUAGUUGCGCACGGGUGCGUAACGCGUGGGAACCUGCCCUUAGGUUCGGAAUAACUCCCCGACAUGGGUGCUAAUACCGGGUAAUGUCUUCGGACCAAAGAUUUAUCGCCUUUGGAUGGGCCCGCGUUGUAUUAGCUAGUUGGUAGGGUAAAAGCCUAUCAAGGCGACGAUACAUAGCUGGUCUGAGAGGAUGAUCAGCCACACUGGGACUGAGACACGGCCCAGACUCUUACGGGAGGCAGCAGUGGGGAAUAUUGGACAAUGGGCGAAGGCCUGAUCCAGCAAUGCCGCGUGAGUGAUGAAGGCCUUAGGGUUGUAAAGCUCUUUUACCCGGGAUGAUAAUGACAGUACCGGGAGAAUAAGCUCCGGCUAACUCCGUG
rnacentral:rRNA from 1 species